ACAUCAAAGUAUACAAUGAAAUAAUUUUUAAAGUAAUUUUCACAUGCCAAAUGAAAAGGAAUACCAAGUAAAAAAUUAAGCUCACUACUUUAGAAGAAUAUAAUCAGCCAAACAUUAUUUACAUCUCUACCAUGGAAACUGCAAGGUCCUGUGAUUUUCAAGACAAUGUGAACAGGAAGGGCUUGCAAGAUGGACUUUAUAAGAGCUGCAGAACCAACCAAAUCAGACUUGGCUUUGAAUCUGGAAUUCUGAGUAAAUGUAGGAAAGCCGAAGCCUCAACUUGGUGCUGGCUUUGUCUUUUGCUUGAUAAAGACUUCCCCUCUUCCAGUUUUCUUUUUAUCUGUUUCCACCCUCCCUCUUUAUUCCUUGACGCUUGAACUUUAAGGUGUCUUUUGGCUUGCCUGCUUGGUUUAUGCUUGGACUCUAUCUAACAGGUUGAUUCAAACUUUGGGGUGCUUGCCAGCUACUGUGGACUGCUUUAGAUUUUCUGAGACAAAGAAAUAAAUACAUUUAGUUAGGACAUA